AGCUUUCCUACACUAGUAUUAUAAGAAGAUAGAAAUAUUGCCUCUUUUCUAGUAUUCUUAUGGUUUUAAUUUUUUUGUUUAUAUUUUUGUGCAUAGUUUAUUUGGGCUGAUAUAUAGGGCAAGGAAAAGGAUUUGGGAGAACACUCAUAGCUAGCAGUUGUCUCAGUUGGAUUCAAUUUUUGAUAGAGAUAAUAAAGUGUAGGGCAACCCAGACUAAAGAAUUACAUAAAUGAAAGUAGUUCAACAAGGUUUAACAAGAAAUCCAGUUUGACUUUAGUUAAAGGAUACAUACUUAUGGGAAGGCAGUAUUAGGUGUUGGAAUGGGGAAGAUGGUUGAGAUCAGAAAGAACAUGGAGAAAACUGAAGAAGAAACAAGCAGUUUGCCUUUUAGAGGAUGACAUGAUGAGGAUGGUGGGAACCCAGACUCAUCUGAAAGCAGUAUGGGAGAUGAUUUGUGAGUGGGUGAGUCUGAGAAAGGAGAAACAGAAGACCUUUUGUUUCUUUCUGAGUGAGUGUACAGAAGUGAGCAUACCAAAGACAGCUGACUGGAUAUAAGUAGCAGAAUAGGUUUAGAUCCAGAAUUUAAUUAGAACCAUACUUUGAGAUGGAAUGGGAUUUAAGUUUUAAAAAGGCACUAAAAGAAAGGAUUUAUGAGUUUUUGAUCACAUGAUGUUUGUUAUUAGAGGGCCAGUCAGGUGGAGUGAAAUAUUUGCAUAUAAAAUGUGAGUUAUAUUCUUAAAAAAGCAGUUAGACAACAGAAUUAAUUUUGAGAUAGUUGAAGCCUUGAGUAGAUGAGAUUCUCAAAAGAAAAUUUUAAAAAAGGUCAGAAUCUUGUGAGAGAAGAAAAAAAUAGAUGGGGGAGAAAACCCCCCUUCAAAGUAGGUGUAAAGCCAAGCAACAAGAAUAUUAAUGUAUCCUUUCCACUCUUUAAAAAAAUAGGAAACGGACCCUCAGGAAUAUGCCUUUCAUAUAUGUUAUCAGGCUACCGACCAUAUUUAUCAUCAGAAGCAAUACACCCAAAUACAAUCUUGCAUAGUAAAUUAGAAGAAGCAAGACAUCUCUCCAUUGUGGAUCAGAACUUGGAAUACCUGGCUGAGGGCCUUGAGGGCCGAUCAUGCAAUCCAGUUGCAGUACUUUUUGAUACACUUCUUCAUCCAGAUGCUGACUUUGGGUAUGACUGUCCAUCCAUUUUGCAUUGGAAAUUAGAGCAACAUCAUUAUAUCCCUCACUUAGUUCUUGGUAAAGGUCCACCUGGUGGGGCUUGGCAUGUGAGUAUAUUUUUCUUAGUAUUUUAA
rnacentral:lncRNA from 1 species